rnacentral:tRNA from 1 species
GGAGAGGUGACCGAGUGGCCGAAGGUGCACGACUGGAAAUCGUGUGUAGCGCAAGCUACCGAGGGUUCGAAUCCCUCUCUCUCCGCCA